AUGCCUGUCAUAAGAUAUACUGCUGGCAUUAUAAACUGGACACAGAUGGAACUGGACAAUUUGGACAGAAAAACAAGAAAACUCAUGACCAUUCAUCACUCACUGCACCCUCGCAGUGAUGUUGACCGGCUAUAUCUGCCUAGAAGAUCAGGGGGCAGAGGACUCUUACAAGUAAAACAAGCAGUCAAAGAAGAAGAACAUGCCCUGGCAGAAUAUGUAAAGCAAAGUGAAGAACCUGCUUUGAUUGAAGUCAAAAAUCAGAAACUCCUCAAAGCACAGCAGACAAAAAACCAGUACAAGAAAGCCACACUACAAACUAGAGCUGACAGCUGGCACAACAAAACAUUGCAUGGAAAGUUCCUUGACAAAAUUGAAGGAAAAGCUGACAAGGAGAAGACCUGGCUCUGGCUCACGAAUGGGACCCUGAAGAAGGAGACAGAAGGCCUGAUCCUUGCAGCCCAGGAGCAAGCCAUCAGAACAAAUGCAAUUAAGGCCAAGAUUGAAAAAUCAGCUGAUGACCCAAAAUGCAGACUGUGCAAGGAAGCUGAUGAAACCAUUGAUCAUCUCCUCAGCUGCUGUAAGAAAAUUGCACAGACAGACUACAAACAGAGGCAUAACUGUGUGGCCCAAAUGAUCCAUUGGAACUUAUGCAUCAAGUACCACCUGCCAGCAGCAAAGAACUGGUGGGAUCACAAACCAGCAAAGGUCGUGGAAAAUGAACACGCAAAGAUACUGUGGGACUUCCGAAUCCAGACUGACAAAGUUCUGGAACACAACACACCAGAUAUCACAGUUGUGGAAAAGAACAAGGUUUGGAUAAUUGAUGUCGCCAUCCCAGGUGACAGUCGCAUUGAUGAAAAACAACAGGAAAAACUCAGCCGCUAUCAGGACCUCAAGAUUGAACUUCAAAGACUCUGGCAGAAACCAGUGCAGGUGGUCCCGGUGGUGAUGGGCACAUUGGGUGCUGUGCCAAAAGAUCUCAGCCGGCAUUUGGAAACAAUAGACAUUGACAAAAUUACGAUCUGCCAACUGCAAAAGGCCACCCUGCUGGGAUCUGCACGCAUCAUCCGAAAAUACAUCACACAGUCCUAG
rnacentral:lncRNA from 1 species